rnacentral:rRNA from 1 species
AUUGAACGCUGGCGGCAUGCCUUACACAUGCAAGUCGAACGGCAGCACGGGAGCAAUCCUGGUGGCGAGUGGCGAACGGGUGAGUAAUAUAUCGGAACGUGCCCAGUCGUGGGGGAUAACGUAGCGAAAGCUACGCUAAUACCGCAUACGAUCUAUGGAUGAAAGCGGGGGAUCGCAAGACCUCGCGCGAUUGGAGCGGCCGAUAUCCGAGUAGGGAGUUGGUGAGGUAAAGGCUCACCAAGCCGACGAUCUGUAGCUGGUCUGAGAGGACGACCAGCCACACUGGGACUGAGACACGGCCCAGACUCCUACGGGAGGCAGCAGUGGGGAAUUUUGGACAAUGGGCGCAAGCCUGAUCCAGCAAUGCCGCGUGCAGGAUGAAGGCCUUCGGGUUGUAAACUGCUUUUGUACGGAGCGAAAAGGCUUCCACUAUUACUGGGGGCUCAUGACGGUACCGUAAGAAUAAGCACCGGCUAACUACGUGCCAGCAGCCGCCGUAAAAC